rnacentral:misc_RNA from 1 species
UUUCCGUAGGUGAACCUGCGGAAGGAUCAUUAUUGUAUAACCGAGGUGGUAGGGCUGUCGCUGACCCGAAAGGUCGUGCACGCCCGAGUUCCCUCACACACAUCCAUCUCACCCCUAUGUGCACCACCGCGUGGGUCCCCCUUUGGCUUGUUCGGAGGGGGGCUUACGUUUUCACACAAACUUUGUAUGCAGUGUAGAAUGUAUUUUUUGUUUUUGCGAUCACGCAAUCAAUACAACUUUCAACAACGGAUCUCUUGGCUCUC